rnacentral:rRNA from 1 species
ACCCCCUGUAACUAGUUGCCCAGCCAAGAAAGAUGGGCACUCUAGCGAGACUGCCGGUGACAAAUCGGAGGAAGGUGGGGACGACGUCAAAUCAUCAUGCCCCUUAUGUCCUGGGCUACACACGUACUACAAUGGCUAUAACAGCAGGAAGCGAAGGAGCAAUUCGGAGCAAAUCCUGAAAAAUAGUCUCAGUUCAGAUUGUGGGCUGCAACCCGCCCACAUGAAGUCGGAAUUGCUAGUAAUGGCAGGUCAGCAUACUGCCGUGAAUACGUUCCCGGGCCUUGUACACACCGCCCGUCACACCAUGAGAGUCUGCAACACCCGAAGUC